AUGCACACAUUCUUCUUCUCUCAAGAAAUUUCUCCCUCCACUCUUAUUCAGCGUCGCUUGCAGCCACAGGACCACCAUUGUCCAACCUCUCUAUUUCAUCUCAGAAGAAAAUCAACAGAAACCCAACCUAGGUUAACGCUCAGAGCUCGAAUCUAUCCCUGUAUUUCACAGAAGCUUCGUCAAAUGGAGAGAUCAGGAGUUUAG